UGAUGUUGAAACUUAUUCACCAAUGUGCUAGUAUUAAGAAGUGUGGCCUUAAGGAGGUGAUUAAGUUACAAGGAAGGGGUCCUCACGAAUUGGAUUAGUGACCUUACAGGAGUGGUUUGCCCUUUCUAUCCUUCUCCCAUGUGAAGACACAACAAGAGGUGCCAUCUAUAAAGAAGACAGUGGCCUUCAGCAGACACCAGAUCUGCCUGCACCUUGACCUCAGACGUCCUGGUCUCUAGAACUGUAAAAACUAAAUUCUCAUUUUUUUUUUUUUUAACAAAUUAUGCACUUUUAGUCCUCCUACAGGAAAGGAGCUUGGUAAUCCACAGGAGAAAAAGAGGUUGAAGGAACUGCAGCACAAUUGAAUAGGAAGGCAUAGAACGGCAGCAUGCACAAACCAUGGGGGUGGGGUGGGGCGGCGCAUGGAGUUCACUGGAAGCAAGAGGCCAGUGUCAGGGGAAAGGAGCUUGGCCCUUUCAUGGCCAGCUUACGGAAGAGCAGCCAAACUUUCCCUUGGAUGUGAAGUCAGAACACUUUACCGUGGUUUAUUUGGUUUACCAAAUAAUGGCCAUUUGGGUGGAGCACUUGGUCAUUAUCAUUACCCCAGAUGUUUGUUUUCAGACAUCCCCAUAUCAGAGCCAUGCUUCUUGCCCCCUCCUGUGAUAGCUGGGAUCAAGGAUAAACCUUGACAACCAGUGGUUUAAACAACAGACAGUUUUCAUCUCCAUCAGUCAACAGUGCAUGCAAAGGCAAUUCAGGGCCAACAUGCCAGUUCUACAGUGCCUGGGAACAAGCACCUCCUCCCUCCCUUUAAAGGGACAGCCAGCAAUCCAAAACUCCAAACAGCACUUAUGAAAAGCUGCUCAAAAGAGCUCUUCCAAGUCCUUUUGAAUUAAUAAAGUCUAAGCCUCCUAGCACCCUAGCCCAGGUGAAAGAACACGGCUGCAAUAGGUAGAGUGCAUGCAAUAGACCAGAGUACAACAAGAAGCUCCAUCUUUUGGCCUCUGGGGUGAGGAAUGAAACUCCUCCCUGUUCUGGUUGUUUGCUCAGAGCUCUCUCUGGCAUGUCUGAUCAUGCCUGCUUGCCUGACUGAACUGUGGCAGGAUGGUGAUUAUUCAACAGGGCUAAAUGAGCUCAGCAUAAGUCACCUUGACUGGUUUAAUGUGCUUAGAUUUAUUAGGAGUUUCAUUAUUAUCAUAACGAAAAAAGCAAGCGGGCCAAAACUUCCAGGUCAAUUAUCAGCAUGAAUCUAGAAAUGAGAAGAGAUGUGUUUGGACACUUUGACUUUAACCAUCAAAUCCAAAGUCCCCUCCCUUCAGUGAUCCAGGCAUUGGAGCUAGGCAGACCACCUUCACCCAGGCCAGGGUCUCAGCUCAUUCUGCUCUCCUCAGCCCAUGCUCCAGGACCUGAAAACAAAGCUUUUGUGUUUAUUUAUUCUAAAAAGUCAGACUUAUCUUUGGACUUCACCCCUGACUUAUUCCUAUGCUGCAAUUCCUUACAGAUGUUUGACGCUGUACCCUGUGUUGGAAGACCUCUUCCUAGUCUCUGGUUUGGAUCUGCCCUUGUUUUUUUUAUUCCUCCGUCUUUGUGGCUUACUGUUGUAUUGCUGACAACACUAGAAAAUCUUGUUUUACUCUCUUAACCAAUAUAUCUUUUCACAGAAAUGUAGUUACAAAACACCAAGGAAAGUCCUGAAGGAGUUUUUUUUUUUUAAGCUGAAAAGGCAAUUUCCAAGGAUAGCCCUGCCUUUAUUUAAGCUUUUACAAAAGUCUUUCCUGCUUAUGAAAUAUGCUGCUUUUAGUAAACUGGAAGAUAUGGAGGCGAAUCAAGAAGAAAAUAAACCUUGCCCAGAAUUCUACCACUCAGAGAAACCAGUCGCACCAGUUUCAGAACCUUCUUCAUUUCUCUGAGAAAGCCUGGACGCAGGUGCAGGCCUCAGCAGUGAUGUGUCCGGCUCAAAGAAGUUUCACCUGACCCGCAGGUGCAAAGACCCACUCUCCUCUUUUGAGUCCCAGGAGUAUCCUUUAAAUCACGCUGGGAACACUUGUAGUAAGGCACAUGUUUACUCAGCUGUCUGUUCCCCCUUCCAGAAUGAGAGGAGCUUCCCGAGGCAGUGACUGUGCCUCAUCCACCUUCGAAAACCAGGGCUCAGCACCAGAAUCAGAAAAACUUUUAGGCUAAGUACCUCAUUUUACUACAGCCUCUAAAAACGAAAGACCACAAGAAAGGAACCUUCCAGAUGAUGAAUACUGAAGAGGAAGAAGAAAAAGCAGCUGGUGUUACCAUAAGAGAUUAUAUCCCCAGAGGCUGUAAGAGAAGACAACAAACAAAAAACAAAAUAAAAGGAAGAAAUUUGAGUGUGAA